CCGAAGGGUAAUAAUUUCUCGUCAGUAGACUUGCUAUUAGAGCCCACUCCAGUUACUAUCAGGUACAGUGCAAAUAUAGUAAAAAGAGCUUGGUAUUAUAUAGUAAAAAAACUUUAUCAUUCAUUCCAUAUAUCCAUGAUAAAUAGAUGUUUACUACAUUUAUUGUACUGGAUUACAGUCAUCCACGAGUAGAUAAACAUUUAUCAUAAAAGAAAUAUAACACUCUGACGAUAUUUACUGAAAAACAAACAUAAACUUAACAUAUAGAUAGUUACACGAUUUUUAUGCUUAGACUGUUGUGGAAGGUGUUUAGAAGUUACAUUAGCUUUUGCCUACGACUCCGCCCCCGUGUAAAAGUUUCUCUGUGAUAUAAAGUAGCCUAUAAGCACUCAAGAGUAAUGUAGCUUCCUAUAAGUGAAAAAAAUCAAAAUCGUUUUAGUAGUUACUGAGAUAAGCUUAAGCACAUAAGUAAACUCUUUAGCUUUAUAUAUUACUAUAGAUAAUAAUUACUUUUAAAUCAUCAUGAAUACUAGUAACAUAAAUACGACUGUUUGUGAAGAUUUGCUGGUGGUAGCAUACAAAAGGUGUUAAACCCGCCAUAGUCGCGAACGUAGGUGUGUCGCGUUCCGUUGUUAGUCUAUGUACAUCCAGUUCAAACAGGCUGGCAUAAUUGUGUCGACUGGCGAUCAGGAAUCAUCUCCCGUCAGGCGAUAUUCUAUCUGGACUCCACUUAGCUGUUCAUCAGGUGCAUUGGGAUCACAAUACAGUGUUCGUAUAAAAAGGCUUCCUCUGCUACUGAGAGGGUUUGAAUCUUAGUCCACCACGCUAGCCUAGUGAGACAAUGCUGUGCCAUCAGAAUGAUAUGGCUGGAUUCAAAAAUGCCACUUCAUGUAUUUAGGCACCUCCCCUCCCGCGUCCAGCAAACGGCCAUAAGAAUUAUUAAGUUCCAUACAUUUACGGCGCACAAUUAUAUGCAAAUAAUGAAUAUGAAAAUAUACGAAUAAUUACUUAAAAAAUACAUUUAAAUGAAAAUAAAAAA